rnacentral:rRNA from 1 species
GACGAACGCUGGCGGCGUGCCUAAUACAUGCAAGUCGAGCGCAGGAAACUGACGGAACUCUUCGGAGGGAAGGCAGUGGAAUGAGCGGCGGACGGGUGAGUAACACGUAAGGAACCUGCCUCAAGGAUUGGGAUAACUCCGAGAAAUCGGAGCUAAUACCGGAUAGUUCAUCGGACCGCAUGGCCCGUUGAUGAAAGGCGCUCCGGCGUCACCUUGAGAUGGCCUUGCGGUGCAUUAGCUAGUUGGUGGGGUAACGGCCCACCAAGGCGACGAUGCAUAGCCGACCUGAGAGGGUGAUCGGCCACACUGGGACUGAGACACGGCCCAGACUCCUACGGGAGGCAGCAGUAGGGAAUCUUCCACAAUGGACGAAAGUCUGAUGGAGCAACGCCGCGUGAGUGAUGAAGGUUUUCGGAUCGUAAAACUCUGUUGUAAGGGAAGAACACGUACGAGAGGGAAUGCUCGUACCUUGACGGUACCUUACGAGAAAGCCACGGCUAACUACGUGCCAGCCGCCGCGGUAAAAC